GACGGGGGGUCCUAGCGUUGUUCGGAUUUACUGGGCGUAAAGGGCGCGUAGGCGGCCACCGCAAGUCGGUUGUGAAAUCUCUGGGCUUAACCCAGAAAGGUCAACCGAUACUGCGGGGCUAGAGUGCAGAAGGGGCAACUGGAAUUCUCGGUGUAGCGGUGAAAUGCGCAGAUAUCAGGAGGAACACCGGUGGCGAAGGCGGUUCUCUGGGCAUGAUCUGACGCUGAGGAGCGAAAGUGUGGGGAGCGAACAGG
rnacentral:rRNA from 1 species